rnacentral:lncRNA from 1 species
GAGCAUUAAGAGGAGAGGAGAAGACCAGCCAGGAAGUAGCAGCAGGGACUUAGAGAAGGUCAAUCUCCCAUCCUAGCUGCAUGAUGCUGCGCUGUGAGGCAUGAGUAGCCUCCGUGGGUGAGGAGCCUGAUCAAGUUCAACUUUCAACUGAUGCAGGAUCAUUUUGGGCCACUGUGAGAUGAUCCGAAGAUAGCAGCAAGGGCCUCAUCUGGACAAGACCUGUCUCCCAGCAUGCUUGACUGCAGUAUGGGAUGUUUUAGUGGAGAAUGGAUUUUUAAAAAUCACUCUUACCAUAUGGAGGAAAUGCUUGCUUUCUCAUCAGACCACUAAAUCUUGGGAAUACUACAACUAUAUUUGACCAGAUUAUUCACUAACAAAGGAAUGAACUAUGCAAACUCAAAUAGCUUGCUGCUUAAAACCAUGGCACAGGCAGGCCAGCAACAAAACAGCAAGUCCCCCCCAUGUGGAGAACACAAACGUGGUUCACUCUGAUCAGUGAAGGAAACAAUAAAACUCUGUAGGCCAAAGG